rnacentral:rRNA from 1 species
AUUCCUAGAGUUUGUGGGCUUUGCCACUGUCUCUUACCCAUGUCUUUUGAGUACUUACGUUUCCUCGGUGGGCUCGCCCGCCGGUUGGACAAUUUAAACCAUUUGCAGUUGCAAUCAGCGUCUGAAAAACAUAAUAGUUACAACUUUCAACAACGGAUCUCUUGGUUCUGGCAUCGAUGAAGAACGCAGCGAAAUGCGAUAAGUAGUGUGAAUUGCAGAAUUCAGUGAAUCAUCGAAUCUUUGAACGCACAUUGCGCCCCUUGGUAUUCCAUGGGGCAUGCCUGUUCGAGCGUCAUUUGUACCUUCAAGCUCUGCUUGGUGUUGGGUGUUUGUCUCGCCUUGCGCGUAGACUCGCCUUAAAACAAUUGGCAGCCGGCGUAUUGAUUUCGGAGCGCAGUACAUCUCGCGCUUUGCACUCAUAACGACGACGUCCAAAAGUACUUUUUACACUCUUGACCUCGGAUCAGGUAGGGAUACCCGCUGAACUUAAGCAUAUCAAUAAGCGGAGGAA